UUUUCUCAGAUGAUACUCAGAAACUUGCUGUAACUUUGUUCUGCUUUGAUCUUUGUACUUUUUCUUCUCAAGAUCCCCACGUACAGAUUCCUUGGCCAGAAGCAACAUAUUCUGACCUGCCCUUCCGUCUUGGAAGCUGACUGGGACUGGGAGGAAACUUCAGGAAGGCGUUUGAAUCUCAGCUUUUUACAGAGCCUUCUUGGAGCUAAAUGCCAAGAAAACUCAAGGAAGGGUCCUAGCACAUUGAGUGAACCCCAUGCCGCGACGAAGGAUAUAUGGGAGGAUAUUCAUAAGAAGACUGCAGAAUGGCUGGUUUUAGGGGCCCUGUGUGGAAGAGGCAUGAAGAGAGAGAGGACUUACAAGAUACAGACAAGACAAGCAUGCAAGAAAUAAAGCUGGGGACCUGAUCUGUCAAUCAAGGUGAAGAUUCCAAACAGAAUGUUUCCAGAGGAGUCAGUUGGAGCUGGCCAGGGGAGAUGAACUGAGGAGAUUUGGGCUCUCUUCGGGGGUUUUCUGACCAAAGGGGAGAGACUGGCUCUUCCUGACUUGGGCAGAGAGAGAGAGACCUUUGUGGCUUUUGACAGAAUCUGGACAUGAAUUACUCAAGCAGAGAUUAUCUGACUAAAGAAAGAAGAAAGGAAGAAAGAUACUUGUCCUCCAAACUCUCUAAUUGUUCCUGAGUCACAGCUGUGACUGGACUGACAUUUCCCUCACUCUCCUAAUUCUCCUUAGAGAUUAGGGACACCCUCAUCCCUCUCACCUCAUCUUCCAUCCUGUCCUAUCUUUACCAAUAAACCUCCUUACCUGAGAAAGAGAACA
rnacentral:lncRNA from 1 species